UACGUAGGGUGCGAGCGUUGCCCGGAUUUACUGGGCGUAAAGGGCGCGUAGGCGGCGCGACAAGUCACUUGUGAAAUCUCCGGGCUUAACCCGGAGCGGCCAAGUGAUACUGUAGUGCUAGAGUGCGGAAGGGGCUACUGGAAUUCUCGGUGUAGCGGUGAAAUGCGUAGAUAUCGAGAGGAACACCUGCGGCGAAGGCGGGUAGCUGGGCCGACACUGACGCUGAGGCGCGAAAGCCAGGGGAGCGAACGGG
rnacentral:rRNA from 1 species